rnacentral:tRNA from 2 species
GGAGUGGUAGCUCAGUCGGGAGAGCGUCUGACCGAAGCUCAGACCGUCGCAGGUUCAAGUCCUGCCCACUCCACCA